UGACCAGAAGCUUCUGCAAUCGAUUUUUUCUUCCGGCUGAUUGUAUCUUCUUCCCGUUCAAUCGGUGUUCCGAAGAACACGAAGUCUUCUUCGUCACUCGCCAUUUAUGUGUUGGAGGUUUUGAGGAUCACCAAUGGUGUUUUAUGUUCGGUUUGCAAAAACCCUAUUGUGGUUCGAACAAAUAAGCCAUGGUUCAUUUAGGGGGUUUAUAA
rnacentral:lncRNA from 1 species